AUUGAACGCUGGCGGCAGGCCUAACACAUGCAAGUCGAACGAGUGGCGGACGGGUGAGUAAUACCUGGGAAACUGCUCUAUGGAGGGGGAUAACUACUGGAAACUGUAGCUAAUACCGCAUACCAUCAGAUGUGCCCAUCUCGGAUUAGCUUGUUGGAGGGGUAACGGCUCACCAAGGCGACGAUCCGUAGCUGGUCUGAGAGGAUGACCAGCCACAAUGGAACUGAGACACGGUCCAGACUCCUACGGGAGGCAGCAGUGGGGAAUAGUGCACAAUGGGCGCAAGCCUGAUCCAGCCAUGCCGCGUGUAUGAAGAAGGCCUUCGGGUUGUAAAGCCCUUUUGUUGGGGAGGCGUUACCCGCAGAAGAAGCACCGGCUAACUUCGUGCCAGCCGCCGCGGUAAUUC
rnacentral:rRNA from 1 species